rnacentral:rRNA from 1 species
UACGGGGGGGGCAAGCGUUGUUCGGAAUUACUGGGCGUAAAGGGCGCGUAGGCGGCUUUGCAAGUGACGGGUGAAAUCCCUCGGCUUAACCGAGGAACUGCCUGUCAGACUGUGAGGCUUGAGACCGGGAGAGGUGAGUGGAAUUCCCAGUGUAGCGGUGAAAUGCGUAGAUAUUGGGAGGAACACCAGUGGCGAAGGCGGCUCACUGGACCGGAACUGACGCUGAGGCGCGAAAGCGUGGGGAGCAAACAGG